AACGAACGCUGGCGGCAGGCUUAACACAUGCAAGUCGAGCGCCCCGCAAGGGGAGCGGCAGACGGGUGAGUAACACGUGGGAAUCUACCCAUCCCUACGGAACAACUCCGGGAAACUGGAGCUAAUACCGUAUACGCCCUUCGGGGGAAAGAUUUAUCGGGGAUGGAUGAGCCCGCGUUGGAUUAGCUAGUUGGUGGGGUAAAGGCCUACCAAGGCGACGAUCCAUAGCUGGUCUGAGAGGAUGAUCAGACACAUUGGGACUGAGACACGGCCCAAGCGACUACGGGAGGCAGCAGUGGGGAAUAUUGAACAAUGGGCGCAAGCCUGAUCCAGCCAUGCCGCGUGAAUGAUGAAGGCCUUAGGGUUGUAAAGUUCUUUCACCGAUGAAGAUAAUGACGGUAGUCGGAGAAGAAGCCCCGGCUAACUUCGUGCCAGCAGCCGCAGUAA
rnacentral:rRNA from 1 species